GACGAACGCUGGCGGCGUGCCUAAUACAUGCAAGUUGAGCGCUGAAGGUUGGUACUUGUACCGACUGGAUGAGCAGCGAACGGGUGAGUAACGCGUGGGGAAUCUGCCUUUGAGCGGGGGACAACAUUUGGAAACGAAUGCUAAUACCGCAUAAAAACUUUAAACACAAGUUUUAAGUUUGAAAGAUGCAAUUGCAUCACUCAAAGAUGAUCCCGCGUUGUAUUAGCUAGUUGGUGAGGUAAAGGCUCACCAAGGCGAUGAUACAUAGCCGACCUGAGAGGGUGAUCGGCCACAUUGGGACUGAGACACGGCCCAAACUCCUACGGGAGGCAGCAGUAGGGAAUCUUCGGCAAUGGACGAAAGUCUGACCGAGCAACGCCGCGUGAGUGAAGAAGGUUUUCGGAUCGUAAAACUCUGUUGGUAGAGAAGAACGUUGGUGAGAGUGGAAAGCUCAUCAAGUGACGGUAACUACCCAGAAAGGGACGGCUAACUACGG
rnacentral:rRNA from 1 species